AUAAUGAGGGCGCAUCUUAAAGGAGCCGCGUCAUUAUUUUGUGAGGGGAGUGAGGCUCCGGUGAGAGACAGAGAGAUAAAUAAAUAGAUUAAUAAACAAUUUGAGCUUCUGGCGAAGAAGCGGGAACUCGUAUGGAGUUCACAUGGAAUUUACGUGGAAUUCACAUGGAAUUGGUGUGACAAUCCAACCCUCUGGGGUCUUUGGCAAAGGCCAGGGAGCAGCUCUGCCCUUGGAGGAGCCGGUGCUGCCUUCACUGAGCAGGUUGGGAAUGCUGGAAUUCUCCUCCUCAUCCUGCAAGGAAAAUCAUUUCAUGCUUUUAUGUGAAGGAAAACAGGCAAUUCCAUAGGAUAAAAACAGGAUCCAAGCCUGUAUCCUGCUAAAUCCAGCAGCAGUGACCUUGAGGAGGCUGGAGCACGAAGCAUUUUUGGAGCCCCCAGAGAAUCAUUUCCCAUUCCAUUUGGGAACAGGAAUAAAAGAUUGGCAGCGCUGUAAGGAUCUCAGAUAUGAUUUUAUGGAAUGGGAUUUAGGAAUUUCCAUCUAAAAUCUGCUUUUCCCUUGUUUUUUCCAAGUGGGAAUUCUUUGCUGGAUUCCAAAUCCGAGUGACAGAGAAAUUCAGAGAAAACUGAUUUUUUUUUUUCCCCAAGGAAAAUUUGAAUUGAUUUGUCUGAAUUCCCUGAUCUCACCCUUGUUUCUAUGGAAUUGUGGAUUUGUGUUUUCUGGGGGAAAAAAUUCCGGUGUUUUUUUCUUGGAGCAGAGGGUUGUAAGGAAAGGAUUUUGUUUUACUUCCCAAACACCACCAACAAAUGAAUUUCUGAGGAGCUGCAGUUUCUCCUGGAAUUCUGAUUUCCUCCUCGUCUCCCGUGGCUGAAGUUGUCCCACCCUGAAGGUGAGGUUGUGCUGUCCCCUUUGCUGAACAGCUUUUAAUAAAAAAUUAUUCAUUUAUUAAUAAACUCCUCUCUCCACUGAGGUUACCCCAUCCUUACUCACAUCCUACUACACCCCCAAAAACGCGGUGGAGACAGAACCACCUAAAAAACCCCAAUUUUGGAGCUCAAAUCUCUUUUUAGCACCUCCCCAACCCCCAGGAGCCUUCAGAAGCUCUGCAGCACCAUCAGGAUGUUUAUUCCCAGGAUUUAUCCUCCCAGGAUGAAGAGGGAACAACAACCAUCCCACAGGAACAGGCUGUGGAUGCUUCCCACUCUUCCUCUCACUUCCAGAGGUUAAAAACUGUUCCUGUCACGUUCCCAGCUCUGCCUUUUCCACCUAAAACUUGAGCUUUUAUAAUCUCAGGUGCCUGCAGGCAAAGGAACAGCUCCAAAACAAAUCCCAAACAAGUUUUUCCAGCAGUUUUUCUUCCUCUUUGACAUUACUUCCUUCAAGUGCUGGUAGAGGUCAGGGACAACACCACAGCAACAAUUCCAAGGGGAAUAUUUGUGGUUUUUACCAUUUUUCCCAGGUUUAUAUUCAGGAUUCCCAACCCAUCAUAUAAUUCAGCUGUUGACAGCAGAGCCAAGCAGAAUCUGACAGUUAUCAACUUUAAAGAUAAAAUUUAAAAAGGGAAGGGGUUUCCCCACCUGGCUGGAAUUUGUUUUUAGAAGGGAAAAAUAAACAAACCCCAAGUGAUGGAUAUUUAUUCAUUCCCAGAAAAAUGAGGGUGGAAAGUUCCAUACAAAUCUUCCCUCUUCUUUCUCACCCUCGGGAAAUACAAAAAGGUGUGAGCAGAAUUCAUCUGGCUUCAGCAAAAACCCUCUGGGAAUGUUAUUUGCAGGGAAAAGUGGAUGUGGCCAAGCCUCCAGCUGGAAUUUUCACGUUUUGUGUUUUGUCAGUUCUUUCCUUGAAUCAUUGAAUUGUGACCAAAAUCUGCUCAUUCUCUUUGGGAAAAGGCUGAUUCUCAAAAUCAGCCUCACAUCUGAGAACUGAAAGUUCCCAAAUCACAAGCUGAGACCUAAAGCAACCCCGUGGCUGAAAAACCCCGGGUGGCUUCACGGGUGCUUUCCUCUCCCACGGAAAAGGAGCUGAAGUUCCAAAAAAAAUCCGCUGGAGAUCCCCUGAGCUGAGCUGAGCCCACCCUGCUGCUCCUCCGGCUGGAAGAUCUCACUUCCAACACUCCAGCGUGAAGAUGUUUCCCUUGGAAAGCUCUGGAAAGGCUGGAAUCUCUCCAGCCUGAGGCUGUGAAUGCUGGUUCCCACAGCCAGGAUGUUCUGUUUGGCAGCAAAAUCCCCUCAUUUUUACCAACUCUGCCAAAUUCCAGCCAAAAUAGGGAAUUUUCACUUGUAAAACGGCAGCAACUUCAGCUUUUAUGAGAGAAUGACCUUGACUGCAACCUCCUCCUCCUUCUC